UAAUAUUGGGUAGGAUUUAGACCUUCACUGUCUCUGUUCCACACUUCAGUCCAUUUGGUGGUGAUAAUGCACCGUAAAGUUGGGAGCCAACCACCAUAUAAACGCCACAGAAGGAAAAAGACGAGUGGCAGCGUACUCAUUGAAGCGUUCAGUCUGGGCGGAAGUACUACCCGAAGAAGCUAGCUGAAAGGAAAACGUCCACUAUGGCUGAGGCGCACAACUUGCAGGACCUACAACAUCAAGCAGCCCUCGCCUCCAAAGUGUAUGUCCAGAGGGACUACAACUCGGGUACAAUCUGCAGGUUCCAGACCAAGUUUCCCUCUGAGCUGGAGUCUAGGGUUGACAGGCAACAGUUUGAGGAGACGAUGCAGACGCUCAACAACCUCUAUGCUGAGGCUGAGAAAAUUGGUGGCAAGUCUUACCUGGAGGGCUGCUUGGCCUGCAUGACCGCCUACACGAUCUUCCUCUGUAUGGAGACCCAUUAUGAGAAAGUAUUGAAGAAGAUCGCUAGGUUCAUCAAGGAGCAGAAUGAGAAGAUCUACGCUCCUCUGGGACUGCUGCUUACGGACCCAAUAGAGAGAGGUCUCAGGGUUGUAUCCUUUACUGUCCCAGAGGCUCACACUAACAAAGGUUUCUUCCCAAAUGCCACCAUAAUCCCUUUAUAUUUUCCUUUGGCUCUGGUUAAAAGUAGUGCACUGUAAAAGGAGCAGGAUGCCAUUUGGGAUGCAUACCUAGACCUUUCUUGUGUAACUGUCUUGCAUUUCUUGCUGGAUCCCAGCUUCCUUAACUAACCCCUCCCCAGGUUGAAAUCACCAUCUUUGAGGAUCGAAGCAUUAGCUCCGGAAGAUAAACCACACCAAAGGAUGGCCUAUUUCACCUGGUGCUUCCCAAUUGUCUCACCACACCAUCAAUGAUUCCUUAUGGAUGUACAAUUAGAUAUAAUUGUUUUUAUUUAUUUCACAUACGAGAUGGGAAAUGUGCGCUAGUAGCCUAUAUUCCAGAGAGACCAACACUCCCUGUUUUUACAUGUUUAUUGAGCUGAUUCAUUUUAACGUGAAAAGUCUUAUUCUAGUUAAGCAAGACCACACCUUUAGUAUGAAGGGUGCCAUUUUGUUUUAUAUUGCCAUUUUUUAACCCUUACUCGUAAUUAAAGGUGCACUGUGUAAUAGGUCAAUGCAAAUAGCCCUUAAAGGUAUAUUUCACCCACAGUUUUUAAACCUGUGUUUUAAAAUAUCCUCUCUGCUUCACCAAAAUGUACAUAAUUAGUCAAAUGGUUCCUUAACUUGACAGUAGUCUAUGGGCCAGGAGAAACUGUAAUCCGCCACAAUUCAGAUGUUUACUUUAGCAAAUACAAUGAGAGGGAAUGGGGCAGUGCUAGCAUGUUCCAAACUCAUGGAUUCUCGUUCCUGGAGUUUACAAACGAUAACGAUGUACAGUAACACAGCACAUUUUCUGAGUUAUGGUUGGCUACUUCAGGUACUUCUAAGUUGUACUUCUCAAAAACCAACUAUAAGCUUUAGCUAAAAUGUUGCUGCUCCUUUUGUAUGUAUACUGAACAAAAAUAUAAAUGCAACUAUUUCAACAAAAUUACUGAGUUACAAUUCAUAUAAUGAAAUCAGUCAAUUGAAAUAAAAUAAUUAGGCCCUACUCUAUGGUUUUCACAUGACUGGGCAGGGGCGCAUCCAUGGGUGGGCCUGGGAGGGCAUAGGCCCACCCACUGGGGAGCCAAGCCCAGCCAAUCAGAAUGAGUUUUUCUCCACAAAAUGGCUUUAUAACAGACAAAUAUUUCUCAGUUUCAUCAGCUGUCCGGGUGGCUGGUCUCAGACGAUCCCGUAGGUGAAGAAGCCGGAUGUGGAGGGCCUCGGCUGGCGUGGUUACAUGUUGUGAGGCCGGUUGGACGUACUGCCAAAUUCUUCAAACAAUGUUGGAGGCGGCUUAUGGUAGAGGAAUGAACAUUAACUUAUUUGGCAACAGCUCUGGUGUAAAUUCCUGCAGUCAGCAUGCCAAUUGAGACAUUGGUGGCAUUGUUUUGACAAUAUUUUGGUGGCCUUUUAUUGACCCCCCGCACAAGGUGCCCCUGUGUAAUGAUCAUGCCGUUUAAUCAGUGUCUUGAUAUGUCACAAGUGUCAGGUGGCUGGAUUAACUUGGCAAAGGAGAAAUGCUCACUAACAGGGAUGUAAACAAAUGUGUGCACAAAAUUAGAAAUGUUUUUUUUGUAUGGAUCUUUUAUUUCAGCUCAUGAAACAUGGAACCAACACUUUACAUGUUGCGUUUAUAAUUUUGUUCAGUAUAAUUGUCAGAAGAUAACAUAUUGAUUUGGUGUGUGUACUUUUGAUCACCUUGUAGGCUAUUUGAUGUGAACUUGUUUCGUAUGCAGCGUUGUGUGGGUUUGUAUUAUGGUUUCUGUUCUAUAGUGACAGUUUGCCAGUGUUUAAGCACACAGGUUGCCUGUUAUUGCCAAUAAGAAUCAGGUUUUCACAUUAGCUAGUUUUAAUUUAUUUAGCUUGACUAAAUGUGAAUUGACAGGAAUUGUGACUCCAACCCUGACUGUGGUUCAACAUAAUUAUGGAGUUUCUAGACUACCCCCUAUCCUUGAUAUUGUCCAAUAUGUGUAAAUAAUUAUUGACCGCAAAUCCACCACAGAAACCUUGAGCAUGCGUUGAAUCCCAAGACAGGAAUUAAAAGCCAAUCUAUUGUUUGUUCUUGUUAUUAUAUGUAAUGUGGAUCUACAAAUAAACUAUUUUCUUGAAUAAUC